GCGGGGAACCGGGCCCGCCGCGCCCGCUCACCCGCGCUUGGCCUGGGGCGGGCCACGGCGCCCGCUCGCCUGCACUUGGGGUGUCCUCGGAUCCGGUGGCGGAGCAAGGGGUUGAACCGGGCGGUUCGGGGGCGAGGGGCAGUGGGACGCGGGCGGCGGGGGAGGGCGGGGGUGCCCAGGCGUCCCUGGCUUGAAAUCAGCUCAGGCUGUGGACCCGUGAGCGCGAUCGGCGGUGUAUGUCGGUGUUUUGCUGUGGGAGGUGAUCUAAAGUCCGUCUAUGCUGAAGUUUGCCCCUCCGGCACAGUGCGGGAGCGCGCUGUGCUUGGGCUGUACGUAGUUCCUUUAGGAAAACAAACAGUUUCACCAUAUGUUCUCCCUUUCUUUCCGAUUACUGAGCAUAGGAAAGGCUGGGGCUUGUGAGAUCUCUUUUUAACAGCUCCUUUUAAAGGAAAGUAAUGGGCAACCUGAAAAUUAAUUCUGUUAAUUCAUUACAUUGUUAGGGCAAAAGUAUUAAGUAGCCUGGAACAGGGAGGUGAUAUUUUUAAGCCUUAAAAUUGAGACAUGUAGUUAAAGUCAAAUCUGCUAACAGUUGUCAGUGUAGCCAUAUGUAACUGAUUGACUCUUCAUUGUUACACAGGAGAAAACUGCCCCCCCCCCCCCCCCCCCAAACCACCCUGAAGCUUAACUGAGUUUCUUCUGUGCCUUGUUAUGUUACUGUUUAACCACUUAAGGGCAGGCCUUGUAGGUGAAGGUUAAUAGCAUUGGAAAAAUUACCUGAGGAGCUUCAUGCUGCUCCGCCAUCAUUAAUGUCAUCUUGGUUCUUUCAGAGCUCUUUGCCUUUCUGAUGAAGAAGUCUUUGGUCUGCUAGCCUUAUUCCUUUCCCUCCACCUCACCUUCUAAAUAAUCUGGACUGCAGGUAUGGAAACAAACCUAAAGCUGGAGGUAGCCUCACUAGCUAGGAGGAGGAUUUUGGGUGGUCAAACAUGUUCUGACAAAGUUCCACAAGAUAAAUUACCCACCAGUUAGAUGACAAUGAGCAGGUUGUAACAUCAAAGUUUUGAGAGAUGAAGUAGUAAAGCAGAAGAUGAAUACAGAAAGAAAAUGCAGUAGAAGGGGUCAGAUGUCAUGAAAAUAGGUUGCUCUGGGUUUUUUGAUUUGUCUUUUUCUUUAUUUCAGAUAAAAUAAUGGGAUUCUUAAUCUACAUUCCUCACCUGGGGACACUGUGUGCUUUUUUUAAACACCCUAAUAGCUAGUUCUGUUCUAGCAGCAGUACUGCAGAAGUUUUCAGCUUGUAGGUGUAAUUUCUAACUGACAUGAUGUUGUAAUAAAGAUAUGAGAGUAUCAGCUCCCACUUAACCUGCAUACUAUAUAUCUAAUGUUUGAUAUGCUGUCCAUUAAAAUAAAAGUCUUGAAUUCUUGA